rnacentral:rRNA from 1 species
GACGAACGCUGGCGGCGUGCUUAACACAUGCAAGUCGAACGGAAAGGCCCUGCUUUUGUGGGGUGCUCGAGUGGCGAACGGGUGAGUAACACGUGAGUAACCUGCCCUUGACUUUGGGAUAACUUCAGGAAACUGGGGCUAAUACCGGAUAGGAGCUCCUGCUGCAUGGUGGGGGUUGGACAGUUUCGGCGGUUGGGGAUGGACUCGCGGCUUAUCAGCUUGUUGGUGGGGUAGUGGCUUACCAAGGCUUUGACGGGUAGCCGGCCUGAGAGGGUGACCGGCCACAUUGGGACUGAGAUACGGCCCAGACUCCUACGGGAGGCAGAAGGGGGGAAUAUUGCACAAUGGGCGGAAGCCUGAUGCAGCAACGCCGCGUGCGGGAUGACGGCCUUCGGGUUGUAAACCGCUUUCGCCUGUGACGAAGCGUGAGUGACGGUAAUGGGUAAAGAAGCACCGGCUAACUACGUG